GAUUUAGAAAUUUCAUGAGUUCAGCAGUUGAUUUAUGAUUUCAUGAGUGUGGAUUUAUAAUUUCAUGAGUGUAGCUGUUGAUUUAUAAUUUCAUGA